AAAUUCUAAACUAGGGCAGCCCAUGUGGCUCAGUGGUUUAGCGCCGCCUUCAGCCCAGGCAUGAUCCUGGAGACCCCGGAUAGAGUCCCACAUCAAGCUCCCGGCAUGGAGCCUGCUUCUGUCUCUGCCUCUUUCUCAUUCUCUCUCACUCUUUGUGUGUCUCUCAUGAAUAAAUAAAAUCUUUUAAAAAAUGAAAAAAAAAGCUAAACUAGAAAUAAAAGAUGAAAAGGACAAUUUUAAAACUAAAAAAAAUUAAUAUUUUUUAAGUAAGAAAAGAGGCUAAAAAGGGAUUCAAAAUUGUCAGUAUGGGAGAUUAUCAAAGAAGAUCAACAUUCAAAGGGGGUCCAAGGAAGAAAACCAGCAAAAAGAACAAAAAUCCUGUAAUUCAAAACAAGUUUUCUAAACUAAAAAAAGUUUGAAAUUAAUACCAAAAUAACACUUUAAAUACCUGAGAAUAUUGAUCAGAAUAACCAAGACCAAGAUAGAUUAUACUAAAAUUACUGGACUUUAAAAAAAUAAGUUUUGGUACUGAGGCAAAAAAGCAUGGGACUUAUGAAGGAGAAAUAAUUAGGUUGUUAUCAAACUUUUCAACAGCUGCCAUCAUGCCAGAAGAAAAUUGAGUAGAGUCUGUUUUUACAAGAUUCAAAAAAAGAAAAUAUUAGCCAAACAUUUCAUAUCCUGCAAAACUGACCUGCAAGUAUAAAAGAUACAAAUUAUUUUUGGUAAAUCUCAAAAAGUAUUGUUCCUAUGUGCUCUUUCUAAGAAAUCAAAUAGAGAGUUUCAGACAACCAAAAUGACUACUGAGAUAUUAAUAUAAGGACAAGAGGUGAUUAUUAAAUAUAUAGUUGUUUGUAGAACAAAGACAAAAUAACAGUUGAAAAGGGGAGAGAGGGAUCCCUGGGUGGCUCAGUAUUAGUGCUUGCCUUCAGCCUAGGGCAUGAUCCUGGAGACCUGGGAUCCAGUUCCACAUCGGGCUCCCUGCAUGGAGCAUGCUUCUCACUCUGCCUGUGGCUCUGCUUCUCUCCCUCUGUGUUUCUCAUGAAUAAAUAAAUACAAUCUUUUAAAAAAAAAAAAAAAAGAAAGAAAAGGGGGGAGAUUAUAAUAUACAAUGGCUAGAUGAUCUCACAGUGUAGGUUAUACAUGACAUGAUAUAAAUAUGCCACAACCGUUUUCAAAAUGGGAGGAGAAGGGAGAUAGCAUUUAUAAAUUUUAAUUUUUUUAGUAUUUGUUGGUGAUAUUUGUAAUAUUAACCAUCAGUGGUAUUAGUAUUGUAAUUCUCGGACUAUUGUUGGUGUCAUAUAAGAAGUGAAUGAAAAAUAUGGAAUAUUCUAACUUUCUCAUUUCCUGUUACCUUGAGAAACAGAGUUCUUAUGUGAAAGACAGGAGAUAAAGACACAACACAAAAGAGGUUAACUAAAAACAUUGUGGUUAUGGAUUUAAAACAGAAAUAUUAGUAAGAACUCAUAUAUAUAUAUAUAUAUAUAUAUAUAUAUAUAUAUACUUCCACUAAAAAGGCUUAGAAACAGCAACUAUAUUGGGAUCUUGAAAUAUUUCCCAUUAAAAGAGAUUGAGGGUCCUUGGAAAAAUGUCUGAUUCCAGGAACUGAGGUCUGGAGAGGAAAAUGGAGUAUCUUGACAUAUCAACUAUCAAGAAAGGUAUUAAAAAAAAAAAAAAACUAUUAGGAUCAUAUCCAAGGAGCCAAUUUGAAGAAUACUCACAGCCCAAGUUGGGACAGUUGGAGCUUCAGUAAAGAUAAAAAUUGCAAUGGAUUGAAAUUCUUCAGAUAUGUUAAAGUCUAUGAGUUCAUUACAACAGUUUAAAAAUCUAAUUUUUGAAAGAUGACAGG
rnacentral:lncRNA from 1 species